GAGUUUGAUCAUGGCUCAGAACGUACGCUGGCGGCACGCCUAACACAUGCAAGUCGAACGAAGUAGCAAUACUUAGUGGCAGACGGGUGAGUAACAUGUAGGUAUCUGCCCUUUGGCCUGGAAUAACACGAGGAAACUUGUGCUAAUACCGGAUAAGUCUUUACGGAGAAAGCUUUAUGCACCAUUGGAUGAGCCUGCACUUGAUUAGUUUGUUGGUGGGGUAAUGGCCUACCAAGACUGUGAUCAAUAGCUGAUUUGAGAGGAUGAUCAGCCACAUUGGGACUGAGACACGGCCCAAACUCCUACGGGAGGCAGCAGUGGGGAAUCUUGCACAAUGGAGGAAACUCUGAUGCAGCGAUGCCGCGUGAGUGAAGAAGGCCCUUGGGUUGUAAAGCUCUUUCGUCGGGGAAGAAAAUGACUGUACCCGAAUAAGAAGGUCCGGCUAACUUCGUGCCAGCAGCCGCGGUAAUACGAAGGGACCUAGCGUAGUUCGGAAUUACUGGGCUUAAAGAGUUCGUAGGUGGUUGAAAAAGUUGGUGGUGAAAUCCCAGAGCUUAACUCUGGAACUGCCAUCAAAACUUUUCAGCUAGAGUAUGAUAGAGGAAAGCUGAAUUUCUAGUGUAGAGGUGAAAAUUCGUAGAUAUUAGAAAGAAUACCAAUUGCGAAGGCAGCUUUCUGGAUCAUUACUGACACUGAGGAACGAAAGCAUGGGUAGCGAAGAGGAUUAGAUACCCUCGUAGUCCAUGCCGUAAACGAUGUGUGUUAGACGUUGGAAAUUUAUUUUCAGUGUCGCAGCGAAAGCGAUAAACACACCGCCUGGGGAGUACGACCGCAAGGUUAAAACUCAAAUGAAUUGACGGGGACCCGCACAAGUAGUGGAGCAUGUGGUUUAAUUCGAAGAUACGCGCAGAACCUUACCAACACUUGACAUGUUCGUCGCGACUCUAAGAGAUUAGAGUUUUCGGUUCGGCCGGACGAAACACAGGUGCUGCAUGGCUGUCGUCAGCUCGUGUCGUGAGAUGUUGGGUUAAGUCCCGCAACGAGCGCAACCCUCACUUUUAGUUGCCAUCAUUAAGUUGGGCACUCUGAAAGAACUGCCAGUGAUAAGCUGGAGGAAGGUGGGGAUGACGUCAAGUCCUCAUGGCCCUUACGUGUUGGGCUACACACGUGCUACAAUGGUAUCUACAACAGGAAGCAAGACUGCGAAGUUAAGCAAAUCCCUAAAAGAUACCUCAGUUCGGAUUGCACUCUGCAACUCGAGUGCAUGAAGCUGGAAUUACUAGUAAUCGUGGAUCAGCGUGCCACGGUGAAUGCGUUCCCGGGUCUUGUACACACCGCCCGUCACACCAUGGGAGUUGGUUCUACCCUAAGGCAAGGUUUCAAACCCUUGACCACGGUAUAGUCAGCGACUGGGGUGAAGUCGUAACAAGGUAACC
rnacentral:rRNA from 1 species